rnacentral:rRNA from 1 species
GUGGGGAAUUUUGGUCAAUGGGCGCAAGCCUGAACCAGCAACGCCGCGUGGGUGAUGAAGGCCUUCGGGUUGUAAAGCCCUGUCGGGAGGGACGAAACCUUGGGUACGCCCCAAGCUGACGGUACCUCCAAAGGAAGCACCGGCUAACUCUGUGCCAGCAGCCGCGGUAAUACAGAGGGUGCAAGCGUUGUUCGGAAUUACUGGGCGUAAAGCGCGUGUAGGCGGUCUUUCAAGUCCUGUGUGAAAGCCCUGGGCUCAACCCAGGAAGUGCGCAGGAUACUGAUUGACUGGAGUGGCGGAGAGGAUGGCGGAAUUCCCGGUGUAGAGGUGAAAUUCGUAGAUAUCGGGAGGAACACCUGUGGCGAAGGCGGCCAUCUGGACGUUCACUGACGCUGAGACGCGAAAGCGUGGGUAGCAAACAGGAUUAGAAACCCUUGUAGUCC